GACGAACGCUGGCGGCGUGCUUAACACAUGCAAGUCGAACGGCAGCACAGUGUGUAGCAAUACACAUGGGUGGCGAGUGGCGGACGGGUGCGUAACGCGUAGGAAUCUGCCUUGAAGCGGGGGACAACCCGAGGAAACUCGGGCUAAUACCGCAUAGACUCGAAAGAGCAAAGCUGGGGCAACCUGGCACUUCAAGAGGAGCCUGCGUCCGAGUAGCUAGUUGGUGGGGUAAAAGCCUACCAAGGCGAUGAUCGGUAGCUGGUCUGAGAGGAUGAUCAGCCACACUGGGACUGAGACACGGCCCAGACUCCUACGGGAGGCAGCAGUGGGGAAUAUUGGACAAGGGGCGAAAGCCUGAUCCAGCAAUGCCGCGUGUGUGAAGAAGGCCUUCGGGUUGUAAAGCACUUUAGGCUGGGAGGAAGGGUUGUAGUUUAAGAGAUGACAACUUUGACUGUACCGGCAGAAUAAGCACCGGCUAACUCUGUGCCAGCCGCCGCAGUAA
rnacentral:rRNA from 1 species